GAUGAACGCUGGCGGCGUGCUUAACACAUGCAAGUCGAACGGUGAACGAGGGAGCUUGCUCCCUCCGGAUCAGUGGCGAACGGGUGAGUAACACGUGAGCAAUCUGCCCUGGACUCUGGGAUAAGCGUUGGAAACGACGUCUAAUACCGGAUACGAGGCGUGGGGGCAUCCCCAACGCCUGGAAAGAACUUCGGUCCAGGAUGAGCUCGCGGCCUAUCAGCUAGUUGGUGAGGUAACAGCUCACCAAGGCGACGACGGGUAGCCGGCCUGAGAGGGUGACCGGCCACACUGGGACUGAGACACGGCCCAGACUCCUACGGGAGGCAGCAGUGGGGAAUAUUGCACAAUGGGCGCAAGCCUGAUGCAGCAACGCCGCGUGAGGGACGAUGGCCUUCGGGUUGUAAACCUCUUUUAGCAGGGAAGAAGCGAAAGUGACGGUACCUGCAGAAAAAGCACCGGCUAACUACGUGCCAGCCGCCGCCGUAACAC
rnacentral:rRNA from 1 species